UCUCCGUAGGUGAACCUGCGGAGGGAUCAUUACAGAGUUCAUGCCCUACCGGGUAGAUCUCCCACCCUAUGUUAUUAUUACUUUGUUGCUUUGGCGGGCCGUUAGGCUCCGGCCCGACUACCGGCCCCGGCUGGUAUGCGCCCGCCAGAGGACCCAAAACCCUGAAUAUUAGUGUCGUCUGAGUACUAUAUAAUAGUUAAAACUUUCAACAACGGAUCUCUUGGUUCCG
rnacentral:misc_RNA from 1 species